ACGAGCGGCGGACGGGUGAGUAAUGCAUAGGAAUCUGUAGUGGGGGAUAGCCCGGGGAAACCCGGAUUAAUACCGCAUACGCCCUACGGGGGAAAGCAGGGGAUCUUCGGACCUUGCGCUAUUGGAUGAGCCUAUGUCGGAUUAGCUUGUUGGUGGGGUAAUGGCUCACCAAGGCGACGAACCGUAGCUGGUCUGAGAGGAUGAUCACGCACAUCGGGACUGAGACACGGCCCGAACACCUACGGGAGGCAGCAGUGGGGAAUAUUGGACAAUGGGGGCAACCCUGAUCCAGCCAUGCCGCGUGUGUGAAGAAGGCUUUCGGGUUGUAAAGCACUUUCAGUGAGGAGGAAAACCUUAUGGCUAAUACCCAUGAGGCUUGACGUUACUCACAGAAGAAGCACCGGCUAACUCCGUGCCAGCAGCCGCGGUAAUACGGAGGGUGCAAGCGUUAAUCGGAAUUACUGGGCGUAAAGCGCGCUAGGUGGUUUGAUAAGCGAGAUGUGAAAGCCCCGGGCUUUAACCUGGGAACGGCAUUCGAACUGUCAGGCUAGAGUGUGGUAGAGGGUAGUGGAAUUUCCUGUGUAGCGGUGAAAUGCGUAGAUAUUGGAAGGAACACCAGAGGCGAAGGCGGCUACCUGGCCAACACUGACGCUGAGGUGCGAGAGCGUGGGAGCAAACAGGAUUAGAUACCCUGGUAGUCCACGCCGUAAACGAUGUCUACUAGCCGUUGGGACUCUUGAAGUCUUAGUGGCGCAGUUAACGCACUAAGUAGACCGCCUGGGGAGUACGGCCGCAAGGUUAAAACUCAAAUCGCCAUCGCAUAUUCUUUUA
rnacentral:rRNA from 1 species